UGCCCCUGGCAAUGGACAAAGAGACCCUCUGUUGGUGAUGGUGUUCUUAUAUCAGCCAGGGGCAGAGCAGAUGGCAGUCCUUUGUUCAUCCUAGAUUGAUGCCUGGUUUGGUGGCCAAAGCUUUCUUAUGCCUAGGGCUCAUCA